UCAGUGAUUCUGUGAAAGAAUGUCUGCUGAUGUUUUUCAGUUUAACAACUAUCUUUUUUGGUAUGGGAAGUAAAUUACUUUGUUAUUAUCAGAUGAUAAAUUGAACUCUUUGUUGGAGAAAAAACGUGUUAUUUGUGGCUACAACAUGCACAUUAGCUUCAAGACUUUCUGCUCAUAAUUGACGAAAAUGUAGCUGUUAAGAACCUGCAGUGUCUGUUUCUGUGGAGAAUUAAAUAUUGAGAAAUCGACAUACUCCUUGGGAGAGGAUGUAGCAAAGACUUAAAACACUAUGAGGACAAAAAAUCUGGUGAGAGCUAGCUGCUGGCCUAAGCUUUAAAGGAGUCUUUGGGCUUUGCAGCCACAGUAAUAAACUCAGAAUCACAACUUGCUAUUCUUGCUCUGAGAGUUAUUUUUUAUUUGGUUAUAGUUUGAAUGCUGGCUUCUUUAGCAGAAGUUCUCUGAUCCAUGUGAAUGUUGAAGAGGGAUUUGGCAAACAUAAACCCAUUGGGAAGCCGUGUUGCUGUGUUGGACAGAACCCGCAUUGCUGCGAGAAUCCACCCAGUUUGCAGGUGCAAGAAGCGCAAGCAUGUCCAAGCUACCUCUGUGUCUCACAUCAGCAGGAAGAUCCCUGCCUCUGUCAGAGGUGAAAUUGUCUGAUGUUUUAACAAGUAAAUGAUCAGGAGAGUGGAGAAAAGGACUGACACGUCAUGCCGUUAAUAAUCCUUGCUUCUGGAGGAAGGCCACAACAGCACAGUCCAGCUGUGGAGGAAUGUGGGUGUACCUCCAGGUGCUCAACCAAGCAGACAGCUGAUGGAAGCGGCAGCCUCAGCCAGCAUCCUCAGUUCCUGGAUUUAACUGCCUUAACAACCUGUGAGUGCACUCUUCUGCUGGCUUGUGCAGCCAAGACUUGCAAUGGUUUGUAGUCCCCCUGUGUACACAACAGGACCACAGUCCUUUCUGGCAGUGCUUUCACAGUGGUGCUUUCUGGCAGUGGAGGUACCAGAUCUUCUUUGGAAAUGCUUCAUGAAGCUAAAGAGGUGAGGUUAUACUGUCACAAAUGUCAGCUGCGUUGAGCUUCCCACUGCUUGGUAGUUCAUCUUGUGUGCUUGCUGAGACUUGGGCUGCCUAAGGAUUUGGAGUGGGAGAAAUUAUUCUUUAUGUCAUAGCUUAAAUCAUUCUAAGCCGGUAUUGACCCAGAAUUUGAGCUUAUUUCUAGUAGGUGGGACUGAGUCACUUACAUGACAAUGAAUAGUUUCAGGCAGAUUUUUUUGCCCUUUAUUUUUGUAUUUUGAACGAUUGGAUUUGUAAAUAAAGCAUUAGCAGAGACUCUGUCAAAGCUCAGUGCUUUUAAAAAAGGAGAUGUGGGGAAAAUUGCUUCAUAAUGACUCAUCCCAUUGGCAUAGAUGUGAAUUAUGAAAUAAGGAAGAAAACUACUGAGUGUACCCAGUAGUGAAGACUGGGUGCAGAUUUGUUGUAUUUUAAAGCACUUGAUUUUUAAACUGUAAGUCUGUAUAUACCAGUGAGUUGUCUCCAUCUGAGCCUCUGUUGCCUCCUCUUAGCCUAUCAUCUGCAUCCUGCAUUGCCACAGGUUGGGCUGCUUCUGAAUUUCCUUGAUGAUACAUGAGAAAAAUCUGGUUUACUACCAUGUAUAUCCAGCUCCUCUCCACCUGCAUAAUGUAUGUCAUAUUAAAAA